rnacentral:rRNA from 1 species
AUGUCUUCGUGCGAGGACAAGGACUCUGCUGCCACGCGGGCCGCGGCGAAGACGGACGUGGAGCUGCUAAAGCGAUUUUGGCGCAACAAGAAGGUCGCGCUGGAGAUCCUCCACUUCGACUCCGCACACGUCUCCCGUGCCCUAUGGCCAUUGGUUGAGGAGACGUUCGAUUACUUCAUGGAUAACGGCAUCGACGACCUGAUGGUCUCGUUGUACCGGAUGGAGCUCGACCGCACGCUCUUCAUGUUGUGCUCCUACCUAUUCCUCCACCUGCAAAAGAUUGAGAAGUACAUGGCGCACAUAUCCAAUUCUGUCGACCUCUUGAGCCGGUUGACGCAGCAGCAGGAGCGAUUCGCUCCCAACGACACCACAAAGCUUCACCACAAUGGACUAUGGCUCCGCGGUGACCUCAACCGUCUAGGGUGCUCAAACACCCAAGAGUAA